rnacentral:rRNA from 1 species
GAUUAUGGCUCAGGAUGAACGCUAGCGACAGGCUUAACACAUGCAAGUCGAGGGGCAGCAUAAAAGUAGCAAUACUUGGUGGCGACCGGCGCACGGGUGAGUAACGCGUAUGCAACCUACCUAUCAGAGGAGAACUAACCGGCGAAAGUCGGACUAAUACCGCAUAAAACAGGGGCACCGCAUGGUGAUAUUUGUUAAAGAAAUUCGCUGAUAGAUGGGCAUGCGUUCCAUUAGGUAGUUGGUGAGGUAACGGCUCACCAAGCCGACGAUGGAUAGGGAACUGAGAGGUUGGUCCCCCACACUGGUACUGAGACACGGACCAGACUCCUACGGGAGGCAGCAGUGAGGAAUAUUGGUCAAUGGGCGGGAGCCUGAACCAGCCAAGUCGCGUGAAGGAAGAAGGAUCUAUGGUUCGUAAACUUCUUUUGCAGGGGAAUAAAGUGCAGGACGUGUCCUGUUUUGUAUGUACCCUGAGAAUAAGGAUCGGCUAACUCCGUGCCAGCCGCAGC